rnacentral:lncRNA from 10 species
CUCUUGCUGUGCCAUCUCUGCCUCCCCCUAGUAAGAGCUCUGUCUUCCUCUUUCUAUAGGAAAAGAAGGCAAGCCACCAACAUCAGGAAGCCCUAAGGAGGGAGCUAGAGGUGAGUGGAGGGUGUGAAGUUCCCUCCUGUCCUCUGGAGAAGGUUUCUUUGCUUCUCUUUCAGCACUUGCUUGUCUUUUCUCCCAAAGGCCCAGGUUCAUACCAUACGAAUCCUGACAUGUGAGAAAGCUGAGCUGCAGACGGCACUCUAUUACAGCCAGCGUGCUGUCCAGCAGUUGCAAGGUGGGAAUCUGGCACCCGCUCAUCCUUCAACCUGGCACUUUGACAGGCCUUUAGGGGGAAUCCUUUGGGCCGCAUCUGAAUGUCUCUCAUUCCAGGAGAGUCCAGGGAUCUGGUCGGCCGCCUGCAUGAUUCAUGGAAGUUUGCCGGAGAGUUAGAGCGGGCUCUCUCUGCUGUCGCUACACAGAAGAAGAAGGCUGAAAGGUACAUCGAGGAGUUAACAAAGGAGAGGGACACCCUGAGUCUGGAACUGUACAGGAACACCAUAACCAAUGAUGAGCUGAAGGAGAAAAAUGCCGAACUACAAGAAAAAUUUCGACUUGUAGAAUCUGAGAAGUCUGAGAUCCAGCUCAACGUAAAGGAGCUAAAAAGGAAGCUGGAGAAGGCCAAGCUCCUGCUGCCACAGCAGCUGCAGGAGGAGGCUGACCACCUGGGUAAGGAGCUGCAGAGUGUGUCCGCGAAGCUCCAAGCCCAGGUGGAAGAGAACAAGUUGUGGAACCGCCUGUACCAGCAACAGGAGGAGAAGAUACGGGAGCAGGAGGAGAAGAGGCAGGAUCAGGAGGACAUGUGGAAACAGGAGGAGAAGAUACAGGAGCAGGUGAAGAAGAUGCACGAGCAGGAGGAGAAGAUGCGGGAGCAGGAGGAGAAGAUACAGGAGCAGGAGGAGAAGAUGUGGAGGCAGGAGGAAAUGAUGCACGAGCAGGAGGAGAAGAUACGGGAGCAGGAGAAGAUGUGGAGGCAGGAGGAGAAGAUAUGUGAGCAGAAGGAGAAGAUGUGGAGGCAGGAGAAGAAGAUACGGGAGCAGGAGGAGAAGAUACGGGAGCAGGAGGAGAAGAUGUGGAGGCAGGAGGGGAAGAUGCGGGAGCAGGAGGAGAAGAUAUGGGAGCAGGAAGAGAAGAUGUGGAGGCAGGAGAAGAAGAUACAGGAGCAGGAGAAGAAGAUGCACAAGGAGGAGGAGAAGAUACGGGAGCAGGAGAAGAAGAUACGGGAGCAGGAGGAGAAGAUGUGGAGGCAGGAGGAGAAGAUGCGGGAGCAGGAGGGGAAGAUGCAGGAGAAGAAGAGGCAGGAGCAGGAGGAGAAGAUGUGGAGGCAGGAGGAGAAGAUACGGGAGCAGGAGGAGAAGAUAUGGGAGCAGGAGGAGAUGUGGAGGCAGGAGGAGAAGAUACGGGAGCAGGAGGAGAAGAUAUGGGAGCAGGAGGAGAUGUGGAGGCAGGAGGAGAUAUGUGAGCAAGAGGGGAAGAGGCGGGAACAGGAGAAGAUGAUGUGCAGGCAGGAGGAGAAGAUACAUGAGCAGGAGGAGAAGAUACGGGAGCAGGAGAAGAAGAGGCAGGAGCAAGAGGAGAAGAUGUGGAGGCAGGAGGAGAAGAUACGGGAGCAGGAGGAGAAGAUGUGGAGGCAGGAGGAGAAGCUGCGGGAGCAGGAAGACAAGCUGUGGGAGCAGGAGAAGAUGAUGUGGGAGCAGGAGGAGAUGAUGUGCAGGCAGGAGGAGAAGCUGCGGGACCAGGAGGAGAAGAUGUGGAGGCAGGAGGUGAAGCUACGGGAGCAGGAAGAGAAAAUGUGGGAGCAGGAGGAGAUGAUGUGGGAGCAGGAGGAGAAGAUGCAAGAACAGGAAGAGAAGAUGUGGAGGCAGGAGGAGAAGAUGCGGGAGCAGGAGUCGAGGCUGUGGCAGCAGGAGGAGAAGAUGCAGAAGCAGGAGGUGAGGCUGCAGGAGCUGGAGGAGAGGCUGGGGGAGCUGGGGCGGAAGGCCGAGCUUUGGGGGAGCAGGCGGAGGUGGUUGCAAACCCUGGAGAUCAUACAGAACGAGCUCACCACAACUUAGCAGAUGGUGGUUGGCUCCCUCUGCUUUUCCACCAGUCUGUGUCCUACAGAUUAAAUGGUGGGAAGAAGGGAGUGAAAUUUGAGGCUGCGGAGGGAGGCAUGGGCCUCUAGGCAAGGGAGGCAGUCACUUAGGCCUGGAAGAAGGGGUCGGGGCCGGGGUCAGGGGCCAGGGUCCUGGGCAGAAAACAGAGCCCCACUGUGCCCUCGCCACCCUGUUUAUGGGCCCAGAAUCUGGAAGCCAGCCACUGCCUACCCUGACGCCUAUCCUGCAGGUGGAGCUGAAGAGCCAAGAGGCUCAGAGUCUGCAGCAGCAGCGAGAC